UACGUAGGGGGCAAGCGUUGUCCGGAUUCAUUGGGCGUAAAGAGCUCGUAGGCGGUUCAGCAAGUCGGGUGUGAAACCUCCAGGCUCAACCUGGAGACGCCACCCGAUACUGCUGUGACUUGAGUCCGGUAGGGGACCACGGAAUUCCUGGUGUAGCGGUGAAAUGCGCAGAUAUCAGGAGGAACACCGGUGGCGAAGGCGGGUCUCUGGGCCGUAACUGACGCUGAGGAGCGAAAGCGUGGGGAGCGAACAGG
rnacentral:rRNA from 1 species